rnacentral:rRNA from 1 species
GACGAACGCUGGCGGCGUGCUUAACACAUGCAAGUCGAACGGAAAGGCCUGCUUUCCCUUGUGGAUUGCGGGUACUCGAGUGGCGAACGGGUGAGUAACACGUGAGUGAUCUGCCCCCAACUUGGGUAUAAGCCUGGGAAACUGGGUCUAAUUCCCGAUAGGACUGCAGGGUGGUGCCUGUGGUGGAAAACGAUUUUCUAGUGGUUGGGGAUGAGCUCGCGGCCUAUCAGCUUGUUGGUGGGUAAUGGCCUACCAAGGCGGCGACGGGUAGCCGGCCUGAGAGGGUGGACGGCCACAUUGGGACUGAGAUACGGCCCAGACUCCUACGGGAGGCAGCAGUGGGGAAUAGUGCACAAUGGGCGGAAGCCUGAUGCAGCGACGCCGCGUGGGGGAUGACGGCCUUCGGGUUGUAAACUCCUUUCGACCGCGAGGAAGCCACCUGGUUGGAAGGGUGGUGACGGUAGUGGUAGAAGAAGCACCGGCUAACUACGUG